rnacentral:rRNA from 1 species
UGCGUAGGCGGCUUUGCAAGUCAGAUGUGAAAUCUAUGGGCUCAACCCAUAAACUGCAUUUGAAACUGUAGAGCUUGAGUGAAGUAGAGGCAGGCGGAAUUCCCCGUGUAGCGGUGAAAUGCGUAGAGAUGGGGAGGAACACCAGUGGCGAAGGCGGCCUGCUGGGCUUUAACUGACGCUGGGGCACGAAAGCGUGGUAGCAAACA